ensembl:lncRNA
UUUUUUUUUUUUUUUUUUUUUUUUUAACAUCAUUGUGGGUCUCAUUAUGAGAUUUCUAAAAACACCUCACUGAAGGAAAACAAGAUUUUGUAUAUUAGGUAUUUAUUUCUAGGUGUACAUUAAUAUUCUAAUGUUCUCCAUUGAUAGAUGCCUGUUACUUUCAAUAAAUUGAAAUUUACAUGUACACUGAAUAGUGAACUGAAAUAUAACUAAUACUUUUUCUCUUAAUUUAAAGAAUAUUUUUUGCACACACAGUAUUGCUUCAUUGUUACUAAACACUUUCUAACAAUUCAUAGAUAAAUCACAUUAAGGGUAUUGGCCUUACUUACUGUGUCUUUAGUGGAAAAACUUUUUAAAUUGAAGAACUAUGUGGAAGUUUAAACACUGCUGAUUUAGAGAAUGCUGUAAGAACAGAAGAUUGGUAAAAGUUUGCAGAAUAUAAGCACACAUGAUGAUAAAUAACUUAGAAUGAAAAAUAAAAUUGUCCCUUAACUUCAACAAUUUAAAUCCCUGAGGAUGGGUAUAAUUUUAGAAUAGGAGUUACAUCACAAUUCCUCUAAAAAUGAUAAUACAAGUGUCUCAGAAGACUGAUCUGUAAGAAUAAAAUACACUAUCAGUAACUAAUUCAUGACACAGCUGCUGAAACUGUAAGAACUCUAUUAGUCUCUUUGUGAAAUAUCUAUUAAUAAAAAACUACAUUAAAUACUGUGCAUCUGUUGAGCUUUUCCAGCAAUAUGAUUCCUAAGAGUGAUAUGAUGUGGACUCAAACCACACAUGAGAAGUCAACUAGCAGAAUAACAGGUGGGGUUUCGUGCCAGGGAGGAACAAUCAAGCAGAUGUUUAUUCUAAGACAAGGAACUAACUGAGAAAUUCCUUGAGCAUAUAGACAGGGAACUACAUAAUGUUUUUAUUGAUUUUAAAAAGGCACUUGAUAGACUGUGUCAAAAUAAUUAUUCUGCAUCUUAGAGCAUUACACUAUCCCAGAAAGCUAAAAGCAAUUACCCCUGACUUAAGAAUAUGGAAAGCACAAACAAAGUUAACGGUUCACUCACCAAUUUUCUCUCCUCAGACAUUUCUUUUCACCUCAUUUUGUCAACCAUACUUUAUGACUACAUCUGAGAUGACAACUUAAAAAGAAGCGUCAGAGCUGAUCUCUGUUUUCUUGACUGUACUAACCCAGUAACUUGAGCUUCUGGAGACAUAAAAUCCUUGAAGAAAAUUUAAGAUUUAGAUUUCAUAUUUUGAGAAGAAAGAAAAUACAUUCUG